CUCUUCAUGAGCUGUGACACCGCUCGUUUUCAUGGAAAGCUCUCUUUCCUUUGAGUUACUGGGAUUGCCCGCUGUAAGAUGCUGCACGUAACCGAAUAUAAAUGAGCAAAUGAUGGCAGAAAUCAUAUUCUGGUGUUGCUGCCCGCGACGUACAAAGAAUGCUGUGUGUGAUGCCAGCACAUAAAUGUUAACUGCCAUUCAGUCAGCGUGUGCCACACUGGUCAGUGAAGCCCAUUCUCUCUUCACAGAGUUAAUGCUGGCUUUUAGGUUGGUGCCAAGAUGCAAUAUUCUCUACUCCUAGCAGUAUGGAAGGAAGGCUUUUUCAGAAGCGUCAGCAGCAGUUUCUGCAGGAACUCUCCCAUGCUUUCAGCACUCGACUUCUGUUGCACACUUUAGGACUUCAUUCUAUAGAUAUGUAAGAAAGAAGUAAUUCAAGACAUUGAAGCACCCUUCCUCCUUAGGAUGAGAAAGCAAGUUGGAGAAAACAGCUAUAGGCAGGUUAACCAGUAUAAGAAAAUAGAACUGAGAGAGCUUGCAAAACAAAAGAUUGUGGAGACAAAGUGCAAGGCCAGCCAGAAGCUCAGCCGAGGACAGCUGCAUAUUGCCAUCAGCCAGCAGAUGGGCAUGAAGACGUGAGCAGAGAAAGACCCUAAGGAAUAGCAAGGCCACAUCAGAUACAGAGGAGACAGUGGAACCGAAAAAGCAAUUAGCACCAGGUACCCACAGACACACACUCAGGG
rnacentral:lncRNA from 1 species